rnacentral:rRNA from 1 species
CGCCUCUUGUACACAUAUAAGAGGUCCUGCCUGCCCAGUGACCCUGUUCAACGGCCGCGGUAUCCUAACCGUGCAAAGGUAGCGUAAUCACUUGUUCACUAAAUGUGGACUAGUAUGAACGGCCCCACGAGGGCUUUACUGUCUCCUUUUUCUAAUCAGUGAAACUAAUCUCCCAGUGAAGAAGCUGGAAUAAAUCUAUAAGACGAGAAGACCCUAUGGAGCUUAAAACAACACAGCUUCUGCCAUAUAAAACUUAUACUAUUAGGCAACAUGACCAUAUGUUUUCGGUUGGGGUGACCAUGGAGCAUAACACAACCUCCACGCUGAGUCUUUUAAGCUAAGAAUUACCUAUCUAAGCAUUAUUACACUAACACCCAUUGACCCAAUAUACUUGAACAACGAACCAAGUUACCCUAGGGAUAACAGCGCAAUCUACUUCAAGAGCCCCUAUCGACAAGUAGGUUUACGACCUCGAUGUUGGAUCAGGGUAUCCUAGUGGUGCAGCCGCUACUAAGGGCUCGUUUGUUCAACGAUUAAAACCCUACG